rnacentral:rRNA from 1 species
AACGUAGACGAAAGUUACGCUAAUACCGCAUACGAUCUAAGGAUGAAAGCAGGGGAUCGCAAGACCUUGUGCUCCUGGAGCGGCCGAUAUCUGAUUAGCUAGUUGGUGGGUAAAGGCCCACCAAGGCAACGAUCAGUAGCUGGUCUGAGAGGACGACCAGCCACACUGGAACUGAGACACGGUCCAGACUCCUACGGGAGGCAGCAGUGGGAAUUUUGGACAAUGGGCGCAAGCCUGAUCCAGCAAUGCCGCGUGAGUGAAGAAGGCCUUCGGGUUGUAAAGCUCUUUUGUCAGGGAAGAAAAGGUUGUGGCUAAUAUCCACAACUGCUGACGGUACCUGAAGAAUAAGCACCGGCUAACUACGUG